rnacentral:rRNA from 1 species
CUGCAGUGGGUACGGGCAGACUAGAGUGCGGUAGGGGAGAUUGGAAUUCCUGGUGUAGCGGUGGAAUGCGCAGAUAUCAGGAGGAACACCGAUGGCGAAGGCAGAUCUCUGGGCCGUAACUGACGCUGAGGAGCGAAAGCAUGGGGAGCGAACAGGAUUAGAUACCCUGGUAGUCCAUGCCGUAAACGUUGGGAACUAGAUGUGGGGGCCAUUCCACGGUCUCCGUGUCGCAGCUAACGCAUUAAGUUCCCCGCCUGGGGAGUACGGCCGCAAGGCUAAAACUCAAAGGAAUUGACGGGGGCCCGCACAAGCGGCGGAGCAUGCGGAUUAAUUCGAUGCAACGCGAAGAACCUUACCAAGGCUUGACAUAUACCGGAAACGUCCAGAGAUGGUCGCCCCGCAAGGUCGGUAUACAGGUGGUGCAUGGUUGUCGUCAGCUCGUGUCGUGAGAUGUUGGGUUAAGUCCCGCAACGAGCGCAACCCUCGUUCUAUGUUGCCAGCACGUAAUGGUGGGAACUCAUAGGAGACUGCCGGGGUCAACUCGGAGGAAGGUGGGGAUGACGUCAAAUCAUCAUGCCCCUUAUGUCUUGGGCUUCACGCAUGCUACAAUGGCCGGUACAAAGGGCUGCGAUACCGUAAGGUGGAGCGAAUCCCAAAAAGCCGGUCUCAGUUCGGAUUGAGGUCUGCAACUCGACCUCAUGAAGUCGGAGUCGCUAGUAAUCGCAGAU